rnacentral:lncRNA from 1 species
UGAGAAAGAAGGCUGGCUGUGUGUCAGGAGAGCCCUACAAAAGAUUGGUGCUUGACAAGGGGACUGGAUUUCAAGCCAGGCCGGAUAGUUACAAAGUGGACUAAGGGGCCCAGUCUUGUUUGCCAAGAUCUGAAGCUUGUUUCAAAAGCGGUGUUUGCAUUUUACUCACUGCAGCAGCUGAAAGGUGAGGCCAUGGAUGAUGCUUUCCUUAUCAAGAGCUCCCUGUAGAAGAUGCAGGAAAGCCUUAUGUUGGGUAAUUAUCCUUUAAGUAAUAGUUUUCCUGUAUUGUGCUCAUUUUAGAAUCA